rnacentral:lncRNA from 1 species
AUCUGUUACUGCUGUUGCUGCUAUUCCUAGUGGUAAACCGCUCAGUUCUGAGGAAAGUCGCUGAUCAGCAAACUGUGUCUAUUCCAUGGCUGGAGAGUGAAGCUUUUAAAACAGAAAAUCAGCAAGAAAGCCCUCUGUGUCCCGCUUAAAAGGACAAAGCGAUGCUGAGGCCUCAGCUCCACCAGAGCAGCCAACGCUGGCCAUAGCCUUGGCAGCUGGGGAUUGGGAGCUCUGCUGCAGCCUCUGCGAGCCCAGGAGACCUGAGAGAAACGUGGGCUCUUCCUCAGGAAAGCAGGAGCUGCCACACGCCUCGAAGCUUGUAAAUCCCUUCCAUGGCUGUUCUGAGUUACCUUCGUGCAGUUUAGCUCAUCUGCUUCCAAACUGGAUCAAGGUAAGCCUUAUAAUGCCUACACAGACAGGAGCAGACAACCAUAUACUUGCACAGCGUG